UGGGGAAUUUUGGACAAUGGGCGAAAGCCUGAUCCAGCGAUGCCGCGUGUGUGAAGAAGGCCUUCGGGUUGUAAAGCACUUUUGUCCGGAAAGAAAUCCUUGGCUCUAAUACAGUCGGGGGAUGACGGUACCGGAAGAAUAAGCACCGGCUAACUACGUGCCAGCAGCCGCGGUAAUACGUAGGGUGCAAGCGUUAAUCGGAAUUACUGGGCGUAAAGCGUGCGCAGGCGGUUUGCUAAGACCGAUGUGAAAUCCCCGGGCUCAACCUGGGAACUGCAUUGGUGACUGGCAGGCUAGAGUAUGGCAGAGGGGGGUAGAAUUCCACGUGUAGCAGUGAAAUGCGUAGAGAUGUGGAGGAAUACCGAUGGCGAAGGCAGCCCCCUGGGGCCAAUACUGACGCUCAUGCACGAAAGCGUGGGGAGCAAACAGGAUUAGAUACCCUGGUAGUCCACGCCCUAAAACGAUGUCAACUAGUUGUUGGGGAUUCAUUUCCUUAGUAACGUAGCUAACGCGUGAAGUUGACCGCCUGGGGAGUACGGUCGCAAGAUUAAAACUCAAAUGAAUUGACGGGGUCAUAGCUGUUUCCU
rnacentral:rRNA from 1 species